CCGCGUGUGUGAAGAAGGCCUUCGGGUUGUAAAGCACUUUCAGUUGUGAGGAAAAGUUAGUAGUUAAUACCUGCUAGCCGUGACGUUAACAACAGAAGAAGCACCGGCUAACUCCGUGCCAGCAGCCGCGGUAAUACGGAGGGUGCGAGCGUUAAUCGGAAUUACUGGGCGUAAAGCGCACGCAGGCGGUUUGUUAAGCUAGAUGUGAAAGCCCCGGGCUCAACCUGGGAUGGUCAUUUAGAACUGGCAGACUAGAGUCUUGGAGAGGGGAGUGGAAUUCCAGGUGUAGCGGUGAAAUGCGUAGAUAUCUGGAGGAACAUCAGUGGCGAAGGCGACUCCCUGGCCAAAGACUGACGCUCAUGUGCGAAAGUGUGGGUAGCGAACAGGAUUAGAUACCCUGGUAGUCCACACCGUAAACGCUGUCUACUAGCUGUGUGUG
rnacentral:rRNA from 1 species